GAUGAACGCUGGCGGCGUGCUUAACACAUGCAAGUCGAACGGUGAAGCAGGAGCUUGCUCCUGUGGAUCAGUGGCGAACGGGUGAGUAACACGUGAGCAAUCUGCCCUGGACUCUGGAAUAAGCGUUGGAAACGACGUCUAAUACCGGAUACGAGGCGUGGGGGCAUCCCCAACACCUGGAAAGAACUUCGGUCCAGGAUGAGCUCGCGGCCUAUCAGCUAGUUGGUGAGGUAACGGCUCACCAAGGCGACGACGGGUAGCCGGCCUGAGAGGGUGACCGGCCACACUGGGACUGAGACACGGCCCAGACUCCUACGGGAGGCAGCAGUGGGGAAUAUUGCACAAUGGGCGCAAGCCUGAUGCAGCAACGCCGCGUGAGGGACGACGGCCUUCGGGUUGUAAACCUCUUUUAGCAGGGAAGAAGCGAAAGUGACGGUACCUGCAGAAAAAGCACCGGCUAACUACGUGCCAGCAGCCGCCGUAAGAC
rnacentral:rRNA from 1 species